AGUGAACGCUGGCGGUAGGCCUAACACAUGCAAGUCGAACGGCAGCACAGGAGAGCUUGCUCUCUGGGUGGCGAGUGGCGGACGGGUGAGGAAUACAUCGGAAUCUACUUUUUCGUGGGGGAUAACGUAGGGAAACUUACGCUAAUACCGCAUACGACCUACGGGUGAAAGCAGGGGACCCUCGGGCCUUGCGCGAUUGAAUGAGCCGAUGUCGGAUUAGCUAGUUGGCGGGGUAAAGGCCCACCAAGGCGACGAUCCGUAGCUGGUCUGAGAGGAUGUGCAGCCACACUGGAACUGAGACACGGUCCAGACUCCUACGGGAGGCAGCAGUGGGGAAUAUUGGACAAUGGGCGCAAGCCUGAUCCAGCCAUACCGCGUGGGUGAAGAAGGCCUUCGGGUUGUAAAGCCCUUUUGUUGGGAAAGAAAUCCAGCUGGCUAAUACCCGGUUGGGAUGACGGUACCCAAAGAAUAAGCACCGGCUAACUUCGUGCCAGCCGCCGCCGUAA
rnacentral:rRNA from 1 species